rnacentral:lncRNA from 1 species
GGGAUAAAGAGUUGGCUUACAAUCGCCACUUCACACAAUGAACAUAUAAUUCAUACAUCAUUCAGAGUACACACAUAGUCCGACUAUGGACGAACCAAAAGAAAAGAAGAUAACCCAACUGCUACAUCCCCGAUUGUCCUAACUGGGCUCCACUACUGAUCAACAUCAAACGGAACAUAGCAAAACCAAUAACUUCGUUGAGCUCCCAUCUGAGCUUGGUUAUAUCACCUGCACUGGUAUCAUUGGCACCUGCAACUGUUGGUAGUAUCUGGUGAGCCACGAGGACUCAGCAAUCCCAUUACCAUGGGUAUCAAGACUAGCAAAGCUUAAAGGGGUAAAGGAAUGGUUAAGUGGUGAGGUUGCAGCAGCGACUAAGCAUAUAUGGUGGCUAACAUACGCAAAUAAGAGCGAGAAGAGAAGCAACGGAACGGUCGAGAAGCUAGAAGUGAUGAAGAAGUGAUCCUGAAACUACUUAUGCACAAUCAUAACACAAAGACCGUGUUCACUUCCCGGACUACACCGAAAAGAGACCAUCACGGCUACACAUGCGGUUGAUGCGUUUUAAUUAAGUCAAGUGUCAAGUUCUCUACAACCGGACAUUAACAAAUUCCCAUCUGCCACAUAACCGCGGGCACGGCUCUCGAAAGUUUAUACCCUGCAGGGGUGUCCCAACUUAGCCCAUCACAAGCUCUCACGGUCAACGAAGGAUAUUCCUUCUCAUAGGAAGACCCGAUCAGUCUCGGAAUCCCAGUUUACAAGACAUUUCGACAAUGGUAAAACAAGACCAGCAAGACCGCCCGAUGUGCCGACAAAUCCCGAUAGGAGCUGCACAUAUCUCGUUCUCAGGGCACACCAGAUAAGCUAAGCGUAUAGGUACCGACGUAAUCCAAGUUUCCAAGGAAUGGUCCCGCACGAUGCUCUAGUUUGGACCAACACUCGGAGGAGCACUGGCCCGGGGGGUAAAAUAAAGAUGACCCUUGAGUCUGCAGAACCCAAGGGAAAAAGGAUUAGGUGGCAAAUGUUAAAACCAAUGUUGGGCCUUGCUGGAGGAGUUUUAUUCAAAGAGAAUUGUCAAGGGGGUCCAUAAAUCACCCAACCGUGUAAGGGACGCAAAAUCAAGGAACAUAAUACCGGUAUGACAGAAACUAGGGGCGACUAGAGUGGAACAAAACACCAGGCAUAAGGCCGAGUCUUCCACCCUUUACCAAGUAUAUAGAUGCAUUAAUUAAAUAAGAGAUAUUGUGAUAUCCCAACAUAAUCCUCUCCACCAUGGAGCAAUCUUCAACUUCACCUGCAACUAACAACGCUAUAAGAGGGGCUGAGCAAAAGCGAUAACAUAGCCAAGCAACGGUUUGCUAGGAAGGCUGAAAAGGUUAGAGGCUGACAUGGCAACUUGGGAGGCAUGGUAAACAAGUGAUAGGUAGCGCAACAUAGCGAUAGAACGGAGCAACUAGCAAGCAAAUAUAGAAGUGAUAUCGAGGGUAAUAGUCAUCUUGCCUGAGAUCCCGCAAGGAAGAAGAACGAGUCCAUGAAGAAGACAAACAGACGUAGUCGAACGAAUCCUCACAACUCCGGAACAAAACCGAAGCUAACGAGAGAAGCAAACCAGAAAGAAGCAAACAACGCGGUAAACAACCAUCACAUAAGCAUGGCAUGAUGCACAAACAAGUUUGAUGCAUGUCCGGUUUAAUGAGGCAUGGCAUGGCAAAGUGUAACAAACAAUACUACAAGUUAAGUGGAGCUCAAUAUGCAACGAGUUGCAUACUGGCAAAACACCACAUCAAUUAUUUAGUUCUCUCUCGGUUAUGUACCCAACAAUAUUAAAUGUUAUUAAACAUGGCAAGAGGUGAAGCAUAAUUAAACUACCUAUCUAGGCAAGUUUAAAUGAGGCCGGAACAACAAACAACAUUUCCAAAAAUCCCCAUAUGUCAUUUAGCAAUUUUUAAACAAACAACAAUUUUAAGCAUUUUAAAUGUUGUUAUCAAGAUGCGGAUGACAUAUGCAAGUUUUAGGCAAUUUUUAUGAAAACGUUGACAUGAGCAAGAUAUGAACAUUUGUCACCGUGGUGGAAAGAAAGGGUGCUACGGCAAUGAAUUUGAAAAUGAUGCCACGGCAACAUAUCGAUGAUCCGAUAACUCAUUGAGAUACCGGUGCAAAAGAGCAAGUGUGCGGAUGUGCAGAACAUGCAACAGAUGGUGGGGUGAUCCCGGUUACCGGGUUCCCCACGUGUUGGUGGCAUGGCAAAAGAGGGUCAUCGCAAGCGACAAUUCGAUCGCGUUGCAAACACGAGCAUCUCAUACAACACAUGCAUUCGAUCACGGUCGGUCAUAUCGGUGGUUAUACCUUUGAAGCGUGUGUUACAGGCGGAACGAGUUCGGUACGAUGUAGAGGAAGUAGUCGUUCAUGGGUCGUCGUGGGAAGUAGUUGUUCAUGUGGCGACGGUAGUGGAAGUAGUCAUUCUCGUGGCGGUAGUGGAAGUAGUGGUACACGGCGGCGGCAGUAGUUGUUCAGGGUCUUGGCGGGUCGUCAUGUAGCCGUACAUGUUUGUCGUGGUACACGGUUCGUAGUGGUACUUGGGAUCUUCUGAACUUGACGGUAUUGAUGAAACGAAGGGGUACUUGGUCUUGAUGUCCAUGGGCACGGGAAGUGAAGAUGCACGGAGGCAACAGCAGUGUACAACGCCAACCCAAGGUGGACAGUGCGACGGCCACCUGCGGUGGUGCUCGGGACUUGCAACAGUGCUAGUGCUCCAUGGAGAAGGCGCUGCUGGUCAUGCAUGAUGAACUGGCCGAGGAAGAGUGGUUGUGGAGGCAAAGUGGAGCUCCGGUGGAGGCGGAGCAGUGGCGUGAAGGAGCUAGUGGCCGCCGAGGCGCUGGCAGUGGCGUCCGCGAGCAGAUGCGGGUGGCGGAGGCUAGGGAAGGCGCUCAAGCGCGAGGAACGCAGGAGCCGCGAGCGAGCUCGCUCGGGGAGCUCCUCGGGCGCAUCUAGUCAGAGUUGAAGAGGAGCAAGGCCGUGACCCUAGGGCGCUCGAGAUGGAGGCAGGGCCAGGAUGGACGGGACCGGGCGCGAGGCUUAAGGCGAGGAGGAGAGGUAGCAGGCCGGCGACAGGGUAGUCGGGUCCGACCGGCCUUGGCGAGGCGGCAUGGAUGGGACGCCGACGGCAAGGGCGACGCGGAGGUCGUCGAUGCUCCAACGCACGGGGGUCAACCUUGAGGUGGUCGACGAGGGGAAGGGGCGCGGAGGAGGAGAGGAUGGGGCAAGGGCAUGAAGGAGCAGGGCAUGGGGAGCUCCGGCUGGUCGAGGCACUUGGCGACGCGGACGCCGGGUCAAGGUCCUUGGUCGUGGGGAUGGGAGGAGCGGCGCGGCUCUGGGGUAGUCAGCGAGCUGCGGGCGGCUGGCGUGAGGAGGAGAUGGGGAUCGAGGGGGAGAGAAGGCAUCGAGUGGAGGAAGAUGGGGAUCGGGCUCUUGGCGGCGCUGGAGAGAUCGGUCAGGGGGAGCGAGAGGGGGAUUCGAUCAGGCUAGGGUUAAGAGGACGGUUUAGGUGGGCUGGGCUAGUUGCGCAAAUGGGCCGGCCUAGAUGGACAGACCCAAGAGGUCGGCUGGGCUGGCUCUCUUCUCUCUCCCUCUAAUUCUCUUUAAUAGAAGAAUAAGAGGAAGGACAGAAAGGCUACGAGAUUUAAAAAAAAUGUAGGGAACUUAGGUGGAGCUUAGGAAAAAAGGAUAAAAGAAUUAUGGGCAAGGUUGGAGACCAAGAAUAGAGAUAACAAAGGCAUUGUGAUAUUUUGCAAGUGUGUUAUGGUGAAUUCCAAAUUAAUGAAAUAUUUAAAAUAGCUCCAUAAAUAUUAGUAGGAGACUUUGAAUAUGUUUUAAAGAGAAAUCACCAUGUGAAUAUCCCUCGAUUUAAAUAGAUCAACGAUCUAUGCAAUUUAUUUAGGUGAGGUUUUAAAAAUUAAAUGACAUAUUGGCAUGAUGACAUGAUCCAAUGCAAAAAUAAAAGAGCAAGCACAAAAGAAACACACGGCGAUAACAAAAUAACUGGGCGGCAUCUGGAGCAUCGGUCUUGGGGCGUCACAACACUCCACCACCACAAGAGGAUCUCGUCCCGAGAUCUAGGAUGGCACCGGAGAGAAAACGGAAGACGAAGAGAGGAGGUAACACUAAGUUGCUUCUUCGACAAAUGAGUGAAACCAAAGAACCUUGAGAGGUUGAAAAGUUGAAAUAAAGAACACGACGGAGUUGAACACAAUUGAGAGCACUGCGGUAGAAAAAUAGAAACAAGGAACACCAUUUGAACAUUGGAGGUUGCAAAGCUAUGAAUGACGAGUACAAUGGAAAAGACGGAAUUGGAACCACUCUGGUUGAAACGAGAUAAAAAGGGAACAAGGAAGAUCAAAUUCGGACAUCACUCCAGUUGAAAGAGACACAUGACUUGAUAAGAUGAAAGAACUUGAAUGAGAACACAACACUCUGGUUGGAUGAGCAAGAAAAUAACAUGAUCUUGACAAAACGAGGUAAUGGGUGAAGAGAGCAACAUCACAAUGCCUCCGUAACGAAAGAAUAGAAGCUAGACCGUUGGGAUAAAGGGACGGAGAAGAAAAUGACAACUUUUGCCACAAGAGAACUUGGAAAUCAUCCUUGCAAAGAAGAAUUGAACGGAGUUGUUGGAAAAUCAACAAUGAAAAGCACAAGUUUGUUGUGGGCUUAUGGCAAACAUCUCAAAAUGAUGAGGUGGCAACCGGUCACUGAUGGAAACAGUUAAUUGGAUUGAGAUCAACAAGGAGAUGAAAACUCCUUUUAAUGAGAGAAUAGGAGGAAACUUGGAUUAUUGAUAGGCACCACAAUUAGCAACAUUCCUUAGGGAAGGCUUUAGGUGAAACCUAUACCAAGAUAACUCCAAGGAAGAAAGUGAUGGGUUUAAAAUAUGUCAUUCUUCAAAACUUGUGAAUCAUGAAACACGAAGGGAAUUGUCAAGAAUGGCAUAACACCACCUCAAGAGAUAAGGUAGAAAGAAUUGCACUUCGAAAUGCAAGAAGUAGAAUACUUGAGCUCCUCAAAACAAAACAUGUGUUGAGCACCAUGUUUAAUUUUGAGUAUAGCUUGGCGGAUCACAACUUUGAGAGAAAUCUUGAGGAACAAUUCGAGAUUGAAAGGAAUCCUUGACGAACCAUCAUGUAGAGCCUCCAUGAAGAACUCCGGUAAUAAAAGGAUGAUAAAAAGAAAGAGAAGUUUAAAACACAAGCUGAAGCCUUGCGAUGAUUUAGAAGGAUCUUCGCGACGAGAUAAUGCGGAAAACUUGGAACUCCGGAAAAGAAAAUAUGAAGCAUCUCGAACCGAGAAAAAUGACAUGAUGAACAACUCUGGAAAGAAGAAACUAGAUUACUUGGAUGAAACAAUAAUAAGAAUUACAUUAUGCCUAUCCUUCACCAAUUUAAAUUGAUGACAAGCAACGGAUUUGGCAUACUACUUAUUCUUCUAGAAAGGAUUAAGAGAGAUAUAGCGCAAACUGGAAAAGGUCUUCAACGAACCACCGGUAGGAUUGAAACAACAAAUAAAUUAAUAUGAGAACAUAGGAAGAGGAAUCUUGAACGAACCACCAUAAGAAUUGAGAAUGAACGUAGCAAAGGCAUGAUUCACCGGGAAGAAUUGGAAAAUUUAUGAAGAUACUUGAGGGGAUUUAGAUACAAGAGAACAAAGAGAUCACGAACUGAUUAGAGGAUAUUUGAACGAUGCACCGGAAGAAUUCAAAAACGAGAGCUGAAAGCUGAGAAUGAGUAAUGUUCAGAAAUGAUGGCCUUCGGAUGGUCGAGAAAGGAAGCAACUCUUGAAAUGCGUCGGAUGGUUUAAAAGAAUUCUCACAAUCGAAAACAAUUAUGAGAGGAUGGCAUCAAGCUAGAACCACGCAUAUUUGGAACAACGUGUAAUGAUUUAAGAGGAACUCUUCUUCGGUCUUCAAAAUCCGAGAAUGACGACGAGAAACACCACCAUGAAUUGUUGAGACACUCUGGAAUGAAAAUUAGAAAGGUUGAACCAAUGAUGAAAGAAUUUGAAAGAUCUUGGAGAAAGGCAUUUGACUGAUGAUAAUUCAUUCUUACGUCAAACUUUGAAAUGAAUUUGGGAAUAGCUCUGGGAAAAUUAGGAGAGUCAGGUAAGAUCCUAGGAAAAGACCUGUGGGUUAGGGCCCACUCGAAAUAAACAUCGUUGAAAGAUUGCUUGAAAUAGAGAUUGCACCGGUAGAAAUAAAAUGACUUGAAUGAGAUAAUAAUCUCAAAAUAGCUUAAACGGAUUGAUAAUGGAGACACAAAUCUUCUGAAAUAUCCUCGGCACUUCGGAUAUGAAGAGAGAGAGGUGAACAAUUAUGAGAUGCACCGGCAUGGGAUAGCAUUUGAACGAGGAAAAAGGAUAUGAUCAACACCGAAAGCUUGAGUUAAAUCCACCGGAGAAGAAAAGAGACGAAGAAUAAUAAACUUGAAGCUCUGUUAGUAUCUUCCUGAGAAUCACCGGAUAAGAACAUUGAAGGAAAAGAAUGGAGAGACUUCCCAUCAAUAAAAUGGAUACCCGAUUAAGAAAUCUGGGUCCUUGAAGAAAAGGGUGGGAGGGCGGGAAAACAAAGACAACUUGGGGCGGAUGAAACAAACACCGUUGAGAAAACUUAGAAUUGAUCUUGCGAAUGUUGAAAUGAUCGGAUCCACUUGAAGAGAAGCACGCCGGUAGGAAAAGAAUUAACAUGACAACCUCGAUGAUCAAGAAGGAUAAGUAUUCACAUAGCAAUAUGAGAACACCGUUUAUGAAAGGUAUGGAUUCAACAUUUGACUUCGAAGCAACUCGAGUACCACAAAUAAAACAAAACAAAGGAUUUGGCUUGCAGAAUAAGCGGGAAACAAACAUAUGAUAGAGAUUUCGUCCGAAGUUUUCGUGGUGGGGCCCACACGGGCUCGAACGUACAGCACCAUCAUGUACAAGGCAGUGCACAUGACAUAUGAAGCGUCCCCGAACUAGCAUAGCCAAGGGCUCUUUAAGACACAACGAGACCACUGUAAAAACGACCGUGGAUAGGCGGACCACUAGACGUCGAACCCCAAUCUCAUAUCAUGCAUCUGUCGGAAAGAAAAACUAGAGCUACUUGAAUUCCCACCUAUAAAACUCCCGAAACUUUCUGGUUAUGCAAUCUGGUGUUGGGGAUACAGGGGAAGCAAUAUAUAUCUCACCCAAAACUAACAAUCCCUACAUCCAAGUUGUAUCCAUCCGUCAACACAUAACCAAGAAACCUUCGGAAAUCGUGUACCUCAACCUUCGAAAAGCAUCCAUUAUACUAGCUAUGGCAAUACUCCCGAACUCCCCAGUACUGGGUAACGUCGAGGUUAUCUUACCAAUAGCUGCAUAAAGGAGAUUUUCGAUGUCGGCGAAACUCAGGUAUUCCAGAACUGCAACGAUAAAAUUAUGACGACAACACCACGGAGCUCAACUCCCCGGGACACUGCCACAACCCCUAAAUGUCAGGAGGCACCAAGAACAAUGUUCUUGUCAUAAGAAUAUCGAAACGAUCCCAAGAUACCCGCGUGACCCUAAAAAAAAUUAGUGAAAUUUGAGGAGAGGAAAGACAAAACAUCUACGUCAGGAGGCCUCACCAGAGCGACGAAGGGACUGAGGACUAAAAAAUCCUACUCUUUGAUAUAUAUAAUCCUAAGACUCAAAACAUUUUUGUUCUAGACUCAACAACGUCAGCGAUUCAAUCAACCAGGGGGCUCCUAAGUAGGGGAUGACUCUGAUUACCAACUUGUAACGCCCAUGAUGCGGCUAUAUCUCCCACGUGUCGAAGCACGACUUAGAGGCAUAACCGCAUUGUGGUUUUGUCGCAAGAAGGGUCAUCUUCACACAAUUCCAUGUAAUGAACAAGAAUGGGAUAAAGAGUUGGCUUACAAUCUCCACUUCACACAAUGAACAUAUAAUUCAUACAUCAUUCAGAGUAAACACAUAUACCGACUAUGGACGAAGGCAAAAGAAAACAAGAUAACCCAACUGCUAGAUCCCCGAUCGUCCCAACUGGGCUCCACUACUGAUCAACAUGAAAUGAAACAUAGCAAAACCAAUAACUUCGUUGAGCUCCCAUCUGAGCUUGGUUAUAUCACCUGCACUGGUAUCAUUGGCACCUGCAACUGUUGGUAGUAUCUGGUGAGCCACGAGGACUCAGCAAUCCCAUUACCAUGGGUAUCAAGACUAGCAAAGCUUAAAGGGGUAAAGGAAUGGUUAAG